AGCGAACGCUGGCGGCAGGCCUAACACAUGCAAGUCGAACGGACCUUUCGGGGUUAGUGGCGGACGGGUGAGUAACACGUGGGAACGUGCCUUUAGGUUCGGAAUAGCUCCUGGAAACGGGUGGUAAUGCCGAAUGGGCCCUUCGGGGGAAAGAUUUAUCGCCUUUAGAGCGGCCCGCGUCUGAUUAGCUAGUUGGUGAGGUAAUGGCUCACCAAGGCGACGAUCAGUAGCUGGCCUGAGAGGAUGACCAGCCACAUUGGGACUGAGACACGGCCCAAACUCCUACGGGAGGCAGCAGUGGGGAAUCUUGCGCAAUGGGCGAAAGCCUGACGCAGCCAUGCCGCGUGGAUGAUGAAGGUCUUAGGAUUGUAAAAUCCUUUCACCGGUGAAGAUAAUGACUGUAGCCGGAGAAGAAGCCCCGGCUAACUUCGUGCCAGCCGCCGCAGUAAGAC
rnacentral:rRNA from 1 species